rnacentral:sRNA from 1 species
UUUUUGUUUUUUGUUUUUUUUUGCCUCCAUCCCCACUUUAUCGUCCUUGGUUCCUUUUAUAGCUGUUAGGCUUUACUUUUUCAGCAAAUAGUUAUCAUGUGGGACUCACAUGUAUUGUUUAACAACCCACAAGAAUAAGAAAAAUAUGGGGUGUGUGUGUGCAGAAAUCAGAAGAUAUGCACAACAAUUCUCAGAACGUAACUUUGCUUAUUUGCACUGUUCCCGUUACCUUUCUAGUCAAAUACUCAAGAAAAGUGAUAUAGUGUAUUGUAUUUCUCUCAGUUUGAGGAGGUUCAGCCCAUGGUGACAUGGCUGCUGCCUAGAUGAUUGUAUAGCAGUAGGACUGUAUGGAUGAAAGUUGUUCACUUCACAGUAGAAUGAAAACAGACAGAGACAAAAAGGGGGCCAGGGACACAGUAUCCACAAUGGCUUAUCCCUCAGUAACAUAUCAUAUUCUCCUAGACCACACUCUCUAAAUGUCUUCAGAGCCUUCCCAAAUAAUAAUCCCAGCAUCUGGUGAGCAUUCCACAUUCAAACCAUAAAGAGUAAUAAACCUUAAAUAUUCGUCAAGGUAAAUACAUGUACAAUGUUCUGAGAAAUACUCACAUGCAAUUGAAUAAUAAAUAGUAUGGGAUAUCAUUUUAAAAAAUUAAGAGUGUGACAACUUGCUGUUCAAAACUUACACAAGCACGAAACUCUUCUAAUUUACAAAAGUUCAUUUUUCUGGUUUGUGUCCUGUGCUUAGCUUACAAAGUUUGUAGGGUAAAGAGUUUGUUACUAUGGCUACCAUUUAAAAGAGUUCUAAGACAUUUUGUUGCGUGGAUUAAUGGAUGAUAAAAAUAAAACUAGAAUUGAGAAAAGACUAUUAAUAGAGCAGAACUAUUUUGUUAAAUAAAGAUGAAGAUCAAAGUUUUUCUUUUGUUUUAAAUCACUUUUGUAACAUGGACUUUUGUAAAUAUUACAGGUGACGGAUAUGAUGGCUCAUCCUGAUGAUCAACAUGAUUGGAUCUGGAGCUAAGUAGAAGAUAUGUCUUUGGGAAUGAUGUGUGGGUGUUUUCAGGAAGUACAAGAACUGCCCCUAGAGUGAGAAGCACCUUCUAAAGGCAGUUUUAUAUGAAGAGGGCCCUGGAAAAUACCAGAUUUGCUUCCCUCCUUUCUACUGACCAUGUCUGCUGUUACUGAUGCUGUCAUAUUUCACUGAUAUCAAAACCCAGAUUUUUAGUCCCCCAAUAUGGACUGCACAGGAAUGAUACUCCCAGAAUUUUCCAGGCCUUCAACCUCAAGUUGUUGAGGCCCGUGGCUUGGUAGGCUAGGAAGCUACCAAGCUCUCUGGCUCUAAGGUAUGUACCUGGGCACUGUUGGACUUCUAGCACCUAUCAUAUAAGCCAAUCUUAUAAGUUCCUUCAUAAUAUAUAUAUAUUAUAUACAUAUUAUAUAUGCAUAUAUUCAUUUCAUUGUCUCUUUUCAUCCAUAUCACUGGAACUAAUCCAACAAACAAUUGAAAAAUUCUUUGGGAAUAGCAAGGUUUCUCUUCCAUCUACUUCACCUGAGCAUAAUUACAGGGCUGUUCAUCAGACCACAUUCUCAAUGGCAUCAGAAACAAGAGUUGGUCAGAGUGGAGUUUGUGAUAGAACUGAGUUUCCUUUGGUCAUUGGUAUUCCAAUACAAUGAAAAUUUUGGAAUGGAAUGUCAUAGAUAUGUGAAGUUACAUACAUUUAGUUUUAAGGACCUUGAGGUCAUUAAGAGAACACCGACUGUCAAUAUAUUGUAAAUUUUCAUCUCUGAAUAUCAAACAAAAAAAUUAACUAAGAGAACAAAGUCUUUCGUGUAGAAACUAAUGCAUUAGUUUUGAAACUUAAAUAUUUCAUUUUAAAUAAUAAUUUUGUAUAGAUACAAUUUUUUAUCAUAUUAUACCUCAUUCUUCUGAGAUCUUUAGGAUUUUCCAAAAGCCAAUGUAUUCAAAGUGAAACACUUUAGUAGUAGGGUCUGGUGGGAUCCAUCAGGUAGCUCCGGAGGGUACUUUCGAAGGAGGUGGUGGAACUCUAAUCUUCUUCUGCCCCCUAUUUUGUUGCUAGUAGUUAAGUGAAUGGUUUUGAUUCAUCAUUAAUGAUGUUACUGUAUAUUACCUUUACAUAGCACCCAAAACUGCAUGGUCAACCAAAAUAUGGAUGGUACCUCCAAUAUUAUGAGCUCAGAUUUUUUUUUUAAUCUGAGGUUUUUUCAUAUCUCAGGUGUAAGAGCAGAAAGGUGAUGGACAAAAAUUGUAUCUGUUAAUUUCUCUGGAAGACAUUUUAAAAAUGUUUUGAUUAUAAAAUUACUAAUCAAGGCUUAAUAGAUCCUAUAAUACAAACAGCCCACAAGCCAAUGAAGGAACUGUCCAGCAGAAUUUAUCUGCAUACUUGCUUUACUUUUUCAAUUAUUUCUUUUCUUUUUUAGAUUAUUUCAACCCUACACAAAGAACUAAGGAAGCUAAGGACUGCCCAGAGCGGGAGAAAUAGUCUUCCUUAAGGCCCAUUCGGGUUGGAGAGGUUACUCCAACAUGUGUUCCUGAAGGAAGGAGCCUCAGGCUGUAACACCUACAGGUGAUGCAGAUCAAUGACACACACAAUUUCACACAUACUUGUAUAUUUGGAGAAGAGAUUGAAGGAAAAGGCAUCCAGCGACCGGCCUAAUUUGGGGACCAUUCCAUGGAUGGACUCCAAGCUCUGCCACUAUUGUUGAUGCCAUGUUGUGCUUGUAUACAGGAACCUCACAUGGUUGUCAUCUGAGAGGCUCUAUCAGCAGAUGCAUAAGGCAGAUGCAAAUACUUAUAGCCAAUCACUAGACUGAAAUCAGAGACUAUUAUGGAAAAGUUGGAAGAAGUAUUGAAGGAACUAAAGAGGAUGUCAACCCCAUAAGAAGACCAACAGAAUCAACUAACCAGACUCUUGGGAGCUCUAAGAGACUAAGCCACCAAGCAAAUAGCAUCCAUGGGUUGGUCCAUGGCUCUGGCAUAUAUAUAGUAGAGGACUGCCCUCUCUGACCUUAGUGGGAGAAGAAGUGCCUAAUCCUGUAGAGAUUUGAUGCCCUAGGGAAGGAGGGUGCAGAAGGUGAGGUAGGGAUGAAGUGGGUGGAUGGGUGAGGGAGCACCCUCUCAGAGGCAAAGGGAAGGGGUGAUGGGGUGAAGAACUCUUGGUGGGAGUACCGGGA